UACGAAGGGUGCAAGCGUUAUUCGGAUUUAUUGGGUGUAAAGGGUGCGUAGACGGCAUGUUAAGUCCGCUGUUAAAUUUUCCCGGCCUAACUGGGAGCAAGCGGUGGAUACUGAUGUGCUAGAGGAUGGAAGAGAGAAGUGGAAUUCCCGGAGUAGCGGUAAAAUGCGUAGAUCUCGGGAGGAACACCAAUGGCGAAGGCAGCUUCUUGGUCCAUAUCUGACGUUGAGGCACGAAAGCGUGGGGGAGCAAACAGG
rnacentral:rRNA from 1 species